rnacentral:rRNA from 1 species
CUGGGAUUCCCUUAGUAACGGCGAGCGAACAGGGAAGAGUCCAGCGCCGAAUUCCGGCCUCCUCGGUGGGGUCGUGAAAAUGUGGCGUUCGGGAGGACGCGCGGCGGAGGUUCAUACUAAUGGUGCAAGUCCCCCUGACCGGGGCUGUUUAUCCAGAGCGGGUGCGAGACCCGUCGCACCUGCGUAAGCCUCCGCAUGCGACCUCCCCAGAGUCGGGUUGCUUGAGAGUGCAGCUUUAAGCGGGUGGUAAACUCCACCUAAGACUAAAUACGACCGUGAGACCGAUAGCGAACAAGUACCGUGAGGGAAAGUUGCAAAGAACUUUGAAGAGAGAGUUCAAGAGUACGUGAAACUGCUCGGAGGCAAACGGGUGGGCCCUCGAAAUUCCGUUGCGGGCGGAUUCAGCGGGGAAUUUACUUGCAUCCGUCGCCUUAACUCCUUUGCUCACCUCGGUGUUUCAUAGGAGUGGGCUUCGGGAGGUCAAGUAUUAAACCCCGCGCAUUUCCGCCCCUACUCGGACGCCGCAGCCGGUCGGGUCGAUUUCAAGCCGGCGAAGAGGUCGGACGGAAGGCAGGUAGCCGGCGAUCGCCUUAGUCGGCGCGUCGUCGGUCGCUAGCCGGUUCCGACCCGAGCCCGGCACCCGACCGAGGCUAAUAUUCCCUGCUUCUACGAGAGUAGAAGAGCGAGCCGCCGGACUGGAGCCCUGCCGCGACGAUCGCCGUCAGUCUAAUGCACUGGGCGUCUCGCGGGCAUCUCCCAGAGUCUGCACGGUCCCGCGAGGAAAUAUAUGGCUCGCGGCGAGUAGGUCGGUCACCCACCCGACCCGUCUUGAAACACGGACCAAGGAGUCUAACAUGUGUGCGAGUCACGGGGUCUUGCUCAGGCCCCCAGGCGUAAUGAAAGUGACUCAAUAUUUUAAGUCGGGACUCCUACUUUGGAGGCACCGACGACCCGCCCCGGUCUUUUCACAAGACCCGGCGGAGUCAGAGCCCACACGUUGGGACCCGAAAGAUGGUGAACUAUGCCUGGGCAGGACGAAGCCAGAGGAAACUCUGGUGGAGGUCCGCAGCGGU